UGCAAACAUUAGUUGGACGUCUCAGAAGAGCAUAGGAAGCCAUGCAGUCUUGCUAGCCUUUAUAUCUCCUUACUACUGGAUGCCUUAGCAGAGCUGCCAAGCACCCCGUGUAUCAUAGUUAUGGAUGAAGGAAGAUACAAGAUGUCAGUGGAUGAAGUCACAGUUAACAUCAUUGGCUGUCCACUGGU